rnacentral:rRNA from 1 species
AUGAAAAAAUCUCAAGAGAAAGUUGGAUGGUUGCUAGGCCGGAACCCGGGAUUGUCUGAAGAUUUCAACCUUUGCGUUGAUUUCAGUUUCACACCAGAUGAGUUUGAACAGAAUUGGGCUGUGUUGAUGAUGAAAUAUGAGGCAAUUACACACACCCAUUUUGAGAAGCUAUACGAAUAUAGGAACACUUGGGUGCCAUGUUACUUCAAGCAUAGAUUUUUCCCGUUCUUGCAGUCUACCAACGAAGUGAGGGGUUCAAUGCAGUCUUGA